rnacentral:misc_RNA from 1 species
AAGAGACGUUGCCCUUCGGGGUAUACCUCCCACCCUUUGUUUAUUAUACCUUUGUUGCUUUGGCGGGCCCGUCCUCGGACCACCGGCUUCUGCUGGUCAGUGCCCGCCAGAGGACCUAAAACUCUGUUUGUUAAUAUUGUCUGAGUACUAUAUAAUAGUUAUA